AAUGUCGUAACAAGGUUUCCGUAGGUGAACCUGCGGAAGGAUCAUUACCGGAGUUCUCCUGCUCUGCAGGAACUCCCACCCUUGAUUACUAUAGCGUUGCUUCGGCGAGACGCUGGAAACGGCCAUUGGAUAUUGAAACAAAAGUGCCGAUGCGUGCUCGCCGGAGUUCAUACUCUACAUUAUGUGUCGUCAGGAAUCAAAAAAAGUCUAUAAAAAAC
rnacentral:misc_RNA from 1 species